GAUGAGCGCUGGCGGCGUGCCUAACACAUGCAAGUCGAACGAAGAGGCCCCUUCGGGGGUACUUCAGUGGCGGACGGGUGAGUAACACGUAGGUGACCUGCCCCGAAGUGUGGAAUAACAGUCCGAAAGGAUUGCUAAUACCGCAUAUGAUCGAUGAGGUUUGAGUUUUGUCGAUUAAAGCAGCAAUGUGCUUCGGGAGGGGCCUGCGCCCCAUCAGCUAGUUGGUAGGGUAAUGGCCUACCAAGGCAACAACGGGUAGGGGGCCUGAGAGGGGGAACCCCCACAUUGGCACUGACACACGGGCCAAACGCCUACGGGAGGCAGCAGUGAGGAAUAUUGCUCAAUGGGCGAAAGCCUGAAGCAGCAACGCCGCGUGCGCGAUGAAGGCCUUCGGGUCGUAAAGCGCUUUUGAGAGGGACGAGAUAGGACGGUACCUCUUGAAUAAGUCACGGCUAACUACGUGCCAGCCGCCGCCGUAAUAC
rnacentral:rRNA from 1 species